rnacentral:rRNA from 2 species
AGAGUUUGAUCCUGGCUCAGGAUGAACGCUGGCGGCGUGCUUAACACAUGCAAGUCGAACGAUGAAGCUCUCAGCUUGCUGGGGGUGGAUUAGUGGCGAACGGGUGAGUAUCACGUGAGUAACCUUCCCUUGACUCUGGGAUAAGCCUGGGAAACUGGGUCUAAUACCGGAUAUGACUGGUCAUCGCAUGGUGGCUGGUGGAAAGCUUUUUGCGGUUUUGGAUGGGCUCGCGGCCUAUCAGCUUGACGGUGGGGUAGUGGCCUACCGUGGCUUUGACGGGUAGCCGGCCUGAGAGGGUGACCGGCCACACUGGGACUGAGACACGGCCCAGACUCCUACGGGAGGCAGCAGUGGGGAAUAUUGCACAAUGGGCGCAAGCCUGAUGCAGCGACGCCGCGUGCGGGAUGACGGCUUUCGGGUUGUAAACCGCUUUCAGCACAGAAGAAGCGUAAUUGUGACGGUAUGUGCAGAAGAAGCGCCGGCUAACUACGUGCCAGCAGCCGCGGUAAUACGUAGGGCGCGAGCGUUAUCCGGAAUUAUUGGGCGUAAAGAGCUCGUAGGCGGUUUGCCACGUCUGCUGUGAAAGCCCGGGGCUUAACUCCGGGUGUGCAGUGGGUACGGGUAGGCUGGAGUGCAGUAGGGGAGACUGGAAUUCCUGGUGUAGCGGUGAAAUGCGCAGAUAUCAGGAGGAACACCGAUGGCGAAGGCAGGUCUCUGGGCUGUUACUGACGCUGAGGAGCGAAAGCAUGGGGAGCGAACAGGAUUAGAUACCCUGGUAGUCCAUGCCGUAAACGUUGGGCACUAGGUGUGGGGGACAUUCCACGUUUUCCGCGCCGUAGCUAACGCAUUAAGUGCCCCGCCUGGGGAGUACGGCCGCAAGGCUAAAACUCAAAGGAAUUGACGGGGGCCCGCACAAGCGGCGGAGCAUGCGGAUUAAUUCGAUGCAACGCGAAGAACCUUACCAAGGCUUGACAUGGACCGGAUCGCAGCAGAGAUGUUGUUUCCCUUCGGGGCUGGUUCACAGGUGGUGCAUGGUUGUCGUCAGCUCGUGUCGUGAGAUGUUGGGUUAAGUCCCGCAACGAGCGCAACCCUUGUCUUAUGUUGCCAGCACGUAAUGGUGGGGACUCAUGGGAGACUGCCGGGGUCAACUCGGAGGAAGGUGGGGAUGACGUCAAAUCAUCAUGCCCCUUAUGUCUUGGGCUUCACGCAUGCUACAAUGGCCGGUACAGUGGGUUGCGAUGCCGUGAGGUGGAGCUAAUCCCUAAAAGCCGGUCUCAGUUCGGAUCGAAGUCUGCAACUCGACUUCGUGAAGUUGGAGUCGCUAGUAAUCGCAGAUCAGCAAUGCUGCGGUGAAUACGUUCCCGGGCCUUGUACACACCGCCCGUCAAGUCACGAAAGUUGGUAACACCCGAAGCCCAUGGCCCAACCGGUUUUGCUGGGGGGAAUGGUCGAAGGUGGGACUGGCGAUUGGGACUAAGUCGUAACAAGGUAGCC